AGUAGUGAUGUGAUACCGCGAUGUGAUAUUUGAGAAAAUAGAGGCACAAAGAGGGCACGUGACCCGCCACUUGUCUGGGUCGAGGCAGGAGCAGGUGCCAGCCCAGGAGGGAAGGCAUGGAAAACCUUGGGAGGGAUGCCUACUCCCACAGCCAGGAACUGGUCCAUCUGACACAGUGAUGUGAACUCAAAUUUUCCCUGCCUUUGAUGACUUCUUGCCUUGGGGAGAGAAAGAUCGAGUCCUCUGUGAUUGGGCGGACCCUACACCUGGUAAUGGGCAUUCGGGCUAGGAUGCCACGCUGUCCCUGACCUUCCCAGUGGGAGACAUCUGCAAGGCUUUGUCUUCUCAAAGAGGAGGAGCUUAGGACAGAGGCACCCACACGGGAAAGACCAUGUGAGGUCACAGGGAGAAGACGGCCAUCUCUAAACCAAGGAGAGAGGCGUCGGAAGAAACCCAGCCCCUGACCCCUUGAUCUAAAGACCCCCAGUGUCCUGAAUGGUACUAGAGCCCAGUGUCAUGUUGCAGUGGAGGUUUGAAUCUGGUGAUGAACUGCCUGGUCCACGUCCUGCCUUUACACUACUAUCUGGAGGACCCUGGGCAAGUUCCCGGACUCUGCUGCUCAUUUUCUGGAGAAAAUAGGAGCUGAGGCACAACCUUCCAGGUUAUCAGUCUGGUGAAGGCAGUCCCAAGGAAGCAAGCAUGGCGUCGGGGCAGCAAGGCCAGGAAGAAGUUCUGCAGACCCAAGGAAUGGGAGCUAUUUUAGCCCUCUGAAGACCAGACCAGAAGACCCCAUGGACCCCAGAGAGGCUGAACAAGGGUGCAGAUGCCACUGAACUGCUGAAUAAGCCAAUCCUGGGCACAGAUCCAGACUCCCUGUCAUGUGAGAUGAUUCCAUAUCUUUAUUACUCCAGAACUUCUUCAUUGGCCUCUUCUGUUACUUGCAUGAUCUGCCCAUUGGUACAACUGUUACAAGGACUGCACCCUGAUUUCUCCUGCCACAUGUGUACUGCAUAGGACAGGACUCAGGCAUACAUGUAUCAGGUUUUUCCUUUUGACCCUCUACAGUAUCUGGUUAGAACCAAGACAUUACUGCCUCUGUUAAACAGGCUCAGUACUGAUGUCUUUUACCACAUGCAAUUAUCAUGCCAUAUGCUCUGGGUUGCUGAGACCCUCUCAGUAGCAUGGAAAAUAGAAAGUAAUCUGACUUGUGCCUACCUGCAAGCUAUGACACUGUCUUUUUAGGAGACCUUGGCUUUAGACAGAAGUCUUAGGAGCUGUGAUGGUUAAUUUUAUGUACCAACUUGAUGGAACCAUGAAUUGCCCAGGUAUUUUGCCAGAUAUUAUCUGAGUGUUUCCGUUAGGGUAUUUUUGGAUGACGUUCCCCUUUAAAUAAAUAGAUUGCAUAAAACAGAUUGCCCUCUCUUAUGGGAGUGGGUCUUGUUCGAUCAGUUGAAGGUCUGAAUAGAACAAAAUUUGCCCCUCUAGUAAAUAAGAAGAAAUUCCUCUUGCCUGACUGCCUUCAACCUGGGACGUUGGUGGCUUUUCCUGCCUUCAGACUCAAACCAAAACAUAGGCUCUUCCUGGUUCCAUAGGCCAAUGUGUCUCUUGGGUCUCCAGCUUACAGCUGGCAGAUCUUGGGACUUGUCAGUCUCUACAAUCAUGUGAGACAAUUUCCUAUAAUAAAUAUCUUUUUCUCUCUAUCUUAUUGGUUCUGUUUCUCUGGAGAACGCUGCUUAACCCAGGAAUCACCCAACUCUGAAUAAAGCAAGUACAGUUUGCUCCUCAACACAGUGAGAGAAGGAAUCUAACUCUUUCCACCUGGCUUCUCUGUGCCAAGCACUGACUAGGUGCUUU